ensembl:lincRNA Gm20557 predicted gene, 20557
AGACUUCAGUAGUUGAUUACCAGCUGCAGUCUUCAGCUUGGUAUUUCGUGCCAGAAGGAAAGUGAUAAUAUCACAUCCAUUGAUUGAUUGGUUCUCGAUUCCAGGCUCCACUGUAAAGAUCAUAUGAACUAAUUCUCAACUCAGUAGUGGUUUCUUGAAAAGGUAAUCAUUGGAGGAAUAUUCAGUACCAAUCUUGUGUAGAAAGAGCAUUAUUAAGUGGAGACCUGAACCAGGAGUGUCUUAAUUUUUUUAAAUGGAAACCCUUGAGAAUGAAGACACAGGAGGAAUACAACGAACCUUACUGUGCCUAAAUGGUGUGGAAAUCAUAAAGGGGAAGAAAAGGAAUAAAAGACAUCUAUCCUUAUUUAAUGAUGUUUUGGUUGUGUCCAAUAACCUGAGGAAGAAGAGGUUUAAGAUAAAAUGCAUCAUCCCACUGAAACACCUGUGGGUCUUGGAUGAUUUUGACCUACUCGGAAAAGGCAAAAUGUGUACUUGCAAAACCCUUUACCUGUAUUGGCCCACCAGAAAUUGUAUUGCCAAAUUUCGGACAAAAGAACAGAAAGAUAAAUGGUACUAUUUUCUUAAAAGAGCCAUCAAGGAAGAUAUCAUGGAAAACUUCUCAUUGCAGAUAUUCACGGAAGACAUCCCAAGCUGUAACAAUCCUUUAUUUGUAACAGUAACAAACAUAGAUACGGUGAAUGAUAUAAUUGAGAAGUUACUACCAAUGAUGCAAAUGCCUAACAGUGAAGCUUACCAACUGUGGUUCUGUCCUGGCCAUGAGGAAGCUCCAUGAGCACUCCAAGGCCAUGAGUGUUUACAUGAUAUAAUAAUUACCAACCUUCAAAAUAUAUUCAGUAGAUGGGACUCAAGAUUUUUCACAGCUUUUCCUGCCUUAGCUGGGUUGUUUGUGAAAGACCUAAACUCGGAUGCACAGGGGCAAUUCAUCUUAAAGCCUGUAGACUCAGCUACAAGCCAGCAACAAAAUGGGAAGGAAAGACAUCAUGACAAACAAGGGACUGUUUUGACAUCCUGCUUCCACAGGGGCUCUGUGCCCCACCAGGACCAAGAAUGCCCUGCCCCGACAUUUAAUACAGGAAAAAUCUUUGGCAAAGAUCUGGGUUCAAUUUGUCAUGAGGGAAAAUGGCCCACAGUAAUUGUGGACAUUCUAUCCCUCAUAGAAGAAAAAGGACCCAAGACUGAGGGCAUAUUCCAGAUAUCUCCAAAUGCAACAUCAUGCAAAAUCCUAAAGGAGAAAUUUGAAUCAGGGGAAGAGGUGGAUGUAAGAAAGUACUCAGUACAUGAAAUCGCCUGGAUUUUAAAGGUUUACAGUUUUGAUGGACAAAACAUACUGGGCCUACAUAUCAGUCAACAUCCUACCUUGGGAAAAGUUUGGGAGCUGUGAAGAAAGCUGGAAGUAAACUAAAAUAUAGAGUUGACUACAUUUUACGUAAUGUCCAUAAUUUAUUUUCUCUGCAAAAUAUUUUCUGUAUCUAUAAGGAAUUUCUUCAAUCGCUCAAAGGAAGUCUGAUGACUUCUCAAUUAUAUGACCAGUGGAUUGCUGUACCCGAAAAUGUCAAUGAUAUGCAGAAAUUAGCUGCAGUGCAGAGUCUUAUAGAAAAACUCCCAGGACCUAGUGCUGCUCUUCUCCAACAACUUUUUCGAAUCCUACACAAAAUUGCCAAAAAUUCUUGCAUUAGCCAAAUGCCAUCGUACAAUCUAUCUGUUGAGAUAGCACCAUGUAUCUUAUGUCCUCAUAACUAUCAUAAUGAAGUACUGGCAAAUGAUAUUACCAAAAAGCUAACAUAUUCUGAGAGUUCAGAACUACAUAUUUUUAACCUCCAAAACACAUGAUUAAAAUGUGAUUGGCAAGCAUACAAAAUCACAGAGACCCUCCGUGUUUACUCCAUUUUGUCCCAAGUAUCUCUGGUAAAGUUCAUGAUUGAAAACUCUCCCAAAAUUUUCGGAAUAGACAUGGUUUCAGUUUCAGAUGAAACUCCAGUUUUUCAUUGACAAGGAGCAAAGGCCUCAUGUUCCCAAAAUACUCCAGCUAACAUCAGGAACAUCCAGGAAACAGAAUAUGGAUUCAGCAGCUCUUCCAAUGGGAGGACACACACCCCUGGUCAUGAUGCACUGGCAAUAAGUACAGCAGCCUCUCUUUCCUAUGAGGGCAUUAUAGAGAAACAAGAAGGCAGUGGGUAUAGAAACCAAGAAACAUCUUCUCCAACUCCUCCAGAACAAAUGAGAAGACAAAUAUUUCAGACAAUACCACCCAUUGUCUGCUUGGACAGAUGCUACCUCUUAUGCUUGACUGUAUUAGAAAUAUAAAAGAAAGCUUGCCCUGCUCCUACUUAUAUGAAGAUUGGAUUAGCAUACUCGACGAAGAAUCUCUUCUUGCAAAAAUGUCUGUUAUACAAAGAUGUCUAUUAUACAAAUCAUGAUUGACAACUGUGAAGAUAUAUUUGGUGAUGAUGGCCGUAUCAUUUGUAAUGAUAAUAAGAAGAGGUCAGAUGACAUAAAGACUUCACUAAAUUCUGCUGCAGGAAAAAAUGAAGCAACUCCAACAUGCAAAUUUCUACAACAGGAACUUCCUCAUGACUAAAGAAGGUGUCAGUCAUUCUAUUUCCAUGUUCCCUUCUACCUCCCACUUAACCAGAGCAGAAGGAACUACUAAAAGAAACAACUUCUGUUUUACAUUUAACCAUACUAUUUGUUAAAAAUAGUUUCACUCACUAUAUUUACUUUAUGGUGUACAUUAAGCAUUCUUAUCUAUUAUAAUAAAUAUUCUUAAAUUGUU